AGCCCUUCGGCUACCGCCGCCGCCUCCCCCGCCCGGCGCCAUGGCCGCUGCGGCCGGGGACGGCACGGUGAAGCCGCUGCAGAGCGCCAUGAAGCUUGCCAACGGGGCCAUCGAGCUGGACACCGGCAACCGGCCCCGGGAGGCAUACACGGAAUACCUGAGGAGCAUCCACUAUAUCUCCCAGGUGUUACUAGAAGAAGUGGAAACCACUAAAGAAGCUGGGGAAACUGUGCCCCCCGACACCUCCAAGAUGCUGAAGCUAGCACAGCAGUGUCUAGAGAGGGCCCAGUCGACGGCCGCCAAGCUUGGGAAAACACGCCUGAAGCCAACCAUGCCUGCAGCUGCUGCCAUCCCCCAGCCUGCCGGCCGACACCGCCGUGUAUACUCCGAUGAAGGAGGAAAGCUCUCUCCUUUUCUGCCACCCGAGAUCUUCCAGAAGCUUCAGGGGGCAGAGUCACAAAGCUGUAAGAAAGAGCUGACGCCACUGGAGGAGGCCUCCCUGCAGAAUCAGAAGCUGAAGGCUGCGUAUGAGGCCCGAAUGGCGCGGCUAGACCCCAGCCAGGCCAUGCAGAAAACAUCCCUGACCCUCUCUCUACAGCGGCAGAUGAUGGAGAACCUAGUGAUUGCCAAAGCCCGGGAGGAGACACUCCAGAGAAAGAUGGAGGAGCGCCGGCUACGGCUCCAGGAGGCCGCCAACAGGAGGUUUUGCAGCCAAGUCGCCCUGACCCCGGAGGAACGGGAGCAGCGGGCCCUUUACGCCGCCAUCCUGGAGUACGAACAGGACCAUGACUGGCCGAAGCACUGGAAGGCCAAGCUCAAGAGGAAUCCGGGGGACCUGUCACUCGUGACCAGCCUGGUCUCACACCUGCUCAGUCUGCCUGACCACCCGAUCGCGCAGCUCCUGAGGCGGCUGCAGUGCUCCGUGUACAGCGCCCUGUAUCCCGCCGUGAGCACAGCAGCCGCGCCAGCCCCAGGCUGCUGCCCCCCGACCCCCAACCCCGGAAGCCGACGGCUGCGGCCCUCGCAGAGCCUCCAUUGCAUGCUGUCCCCGCCCGAGCCCAGCGCAGCCCCGCGGCCCCAGGACAGCCCCCCCACGCCCCCACUCCAACCCGGCCCCGUGGGGUCUCCCUCACCCCUGGGGGACACCGCAUCUGGAUUGCCAGACAAGGACAGCUCGUUCGAGGACCUGGAGCAGUUCCUGGGGACGUCUGAGCGGCAGGGCCGGGGCCGUGGGGUACAGCCGGAGCCCCAGCUGCAGCAGCUGAAGACCGCGGUGGAGGAGAUCCACAACGCCGUAGCAGACAGGCUGCUCUCGCUGACCCUUCUGGCCUUCGAAGGCCUAAACACAGCUGCCUCCAAGGACCGCUGCCUGGCCUGCAUUGAGGAACCCUUUUUCUCCCCGCUGUGGCCUCUGCUGCUGGCCCUGUACAGGAGCGUGCACCGAGCCCGGGAGGCUGCCCUGAGCAGGAGCAUGGAGCUCUACAGGAAUGCACCCCCCACCGCCAUUGGCAUCCCCACCAAGCUCCUCCCCCAGAACCCUGAGGCCAAGGGGGCCACUGGCUACCCCUACUGCGCGGCGGCCCAGGAGCUCGGACUGCUGGUCCUGGAGAGCUGCCCCCAGAAGAAGCUGGAGUGCAUAGGUCAGCAGUGCGGACCCUGCGGAUCAUCUGUGUCUGUGCGGAAGACUACUGCCCCACCCCGGAGGCCACACCCCAGGCCGGGCCCCCGCCCAUCGCUGCAGCUGCCAUUGGUGCCGAUGACCUGCUGCCCAUCCUGUCCUUCGUGGUGCUGAGGAGCGGCCUCCCUCAGCUGGUGUCGGAGUGCGCGGCCCUGGAGGAGUUCAUCCACGAGGGGUACCUGAUCGGAGAGGAGGGCUACUGCCUCACAUCACUGCAGAGUGCCCUGAGCUACGUGGAGCUGCUGCCCCGGGGAGGCCUGGCCAAGUAGUACAGCCAGAGCCCAGGGCCCCUGCAGGGCCUGGCCUCGCCUCCCAGGGCUGUCUCUCCUACACCUGGAGCCAUGGGAUCUACUGAGGACCAUCCUGGAGCCUCACACUGCUCUGCACAUAGCGGGGGCUUGUCCACUGUGGUGUGCUCUCCAGCUCUUCACCUUCCUCACCUCACAUCUGACCCUGGAGCUUGGGGUUGGCACCUCUGCCCCAACAGAAUGGGGCUGAAUCAGCUCCAGGAGGAACCAGGCCCUGCUCUCCUGUGUAGGCCUCAGAGAGGCCAAGAAGGGAAGCUUCGGGCUUCGGUGGGUGCAGGCUCAGCGAUGAACAUCUGGCUGGGGCAGCUCCUGGGGAGCAUCAGGGAAGAGGGGGCCAUGAGCCGGCCAGCAGUGGAGACGGCAGUCCAGUUUCUCUCCCCUCUGACCCCUAGAAGGGGAGUUGUAGCCCCAUGAACUAGUUUCUUGUCUGGGUCAGGAACAAGGGCCGGCUGGGGCCUGAGGUGCAGCUGGUGUGAGGGUGUGCUGUUUGCUGAUGGGCAGGGACACCCCUGCAGGGUCUCGGGCUCUGAGCCCAGGACAUUCCCUGCCCCUUGCUCACCUUGGCUGUGGGCUGUGAACAUUCCAGGACCCUGGGCAUCUUAUCUAGGUCCGUGCAGCCCAAGGGUCAGCCCUCUUGACUGUCACAUGCUGCCCCCACCCAGCCUAAAAUAAAGAGCUCACUGCUGUG